rnacentral:rRNA from 1 species
CGUGCCAGCAGCCGCGGUAAUACGAGUGGUCCAAGCGUUAUCCGGAAUUAUUGGGCGUAAAGGGUGCGAAGAUGGAAUUGUUAGUCGGGUGUUUAACCCACAGGCUCAACCUGUGGAUUGCAUUCGGAACGUCAAUUCUUGAGGUUGUUAGAGGUUAGCGGAACUAAUAGUGUAGGGGUGAAAUCCGUUGAUAUUAUUGGGAACACCAAAAGCGAAGGCAGCUAACUAGAACACACCUGACAUUAUAGCACGAAAGCGUGGGUAGCGAAUGGGAUUAGAUACCCCAGUAGUCCACGCCCUAAACGAUGCAGACUCGCUAUUUGAAGUAUCGACCCUUCAAGUGGCUAAGCUAACGCGGUAAGUCUGCCGCCUGGGAAGUACGGUCGCAAGGCUAAAACUCAAAGGAAUAGACGGGGAGACGCACAAGCAGUGGAUUAUGUGGUUUAAUUCGACAGUAAACGAAGAACCUCACCAAGAUUUGAAACUAGAAUGUAAGGCCUAGAAAUAGGUCCCCCGCAAGGCUAUCUAGCAGGUGAUGCAUGGCCGUCGUCAGUUCGUGGUUUGAACUGUUCCCUUCAGUGGGGUAACGAACGCAACCCUCGUCGUGUGUUAUACGUGUCACACGAGACUGCCCCCUUUCGGGGGAGGAAGG